rnacentral:rRNA from 1 species
AUUGAACGCUGGCGGCAGGCCUAACACAUGCAAGUCGAGCGGGGUUUUCGGACCUAGCGGCGGACGGGUGAGUAAUGCGUAGGAAGCUACCCGAUAGAGGGGGAUACCAGUUGAAACGACUGUUAAUACCGCAUAAUGUCUACGGACCAAAGUGUGGGACCUUCGGGCCACAUGCUAUCGGAUGCGCCUACGUGGGAUUAGCUAGUUGGUGAGGUAAUGGCUCACCAAGGCGACGAUCCCUAGCUGGUUUGAGAGGAUGAUCAGCCCCACUGGAACUGAGACACGGUCCAGACUCCUACGGGAGGCAGAAGUGGGGAAGAUUGGACAAUGGGCGCAAGCCUGAUCCAGCCAUGCCGCGUGUGUGAAGAAGGCCUUCGGGUUGUAAAGCACUUUCAGUAGGGAGGAAGCGUUGUGUGUUAAUAGUACACAGCGUUGACGUUACCUACAGAAGAAGCACCGGCUAACUCUGUGCCAGCAGCCGCCGCAGUAA